UACGAAGGGGGCUAGCGUUGCUCGGAAUCACUGGGCGUAAAGCGCACGUAGGCGGAUUGUUAAGUCAGGGGUGAAAUCCUGGAGCUCAACUCCAGAACUGCCUUUGAUACUGGCGAUCUUGAGUCCGGGAGAGGUGAGUGGAACUGCGAGUGUAGAGGUGAAAUUCGUAGAUAUUCGCAAGAACACCAGUGGCGAAGGCGGCUCACUGGCCCGGUUCUGACGCUGAGGCGCGAAAGCGUGGGGAGCAAACAGG
rnacentral:rRNA from 1 species